rnacentral:snoRNA from 1 species
CUGCCUGUUAAGGGUUGACGCCGUGCCUUGAGGGCUAACACAGAGGGUAAAGGAAAUCUCCAUAAAACCCAGAGAAGAGCUUUGUUAGAAAACUCCUCCUGGAUCCUUGUCUUGGAGUCACAGCU